UUGUUGGCAAACAGUUCUGGGGGUCAUCCUAGCCUACAGAUAGUGCCCAGGCUGGACUUGAACUCCUUGCUGGGCUUAAGUGAUCCUCCUGCCUCAGCCUCCUGAAUAGGAAGUGGAGCCAGAAUCCACAGAUGUCAUUAUCCAUCUGCACACUUUGUUUACUACCCAGAAGGCAAGAAUAUUGCAUUUUAAAAGUGCCUAGACUUUUGUUCUUUCUUAUCACAAAUGACUUGGGAAGCUCCGACCACUCAUGUUUACCCCGAGUGAAAGUCCCAUUCAAAGCCUUGCUUCCUGGAGAGCUUUGAGAUUCUGGUUCAAAAGGCAUUUUAUAAGCACAAAGUGGAAAAGCAUCAUUCAUAUUCAUUUGCUGCUGCGGCAUUUCUCCCUGGAUUCUUCCUCUUGUCUGUCAACAUUGGGCAAAAGGACUGGCCUCAUCUACAUUACAGAUAUCCUUGUGAUGGUCUGGAGGGACCUGUGGGAGAGGCAGCCAUCCGGAGGGCUCUCUGAGGGGUCAUUUAGAAUGCAACUGUUCUGGGCAGAGGAUGGUCUGCACUGGCCUCCAUCGCACAGGAAGGCUUCCAGAGUGGAGAAAUGUCCACUAAUGUGGCUUCUGUGAGGUAUCAUUCUGUUCAUUGUUGUUACAGGAGAGAUGAGAAGAAAUUAGAGGGGCUAGAAGAACCAGCAGACCUGUUAAAAAUCAUGAAUACAAAGAAAAGUCAUUUGCUUCUGUGCUUCAAUUCCAUAAUAAAAUGAGUAUAAUGUCA
rnacentral:lncRNA from 1 species